rnacentral:rRNA from 1 species
CGCGGCCUAUCAGCUUGUUGGUGAGGUAAUGGCUCACCAAGGCAUCGACGGGUAGCUGGUCUGAGAGGACGACCCGCCACAUUGGGACUGAGAUACGGCCCAGACUCCUACGGGAGGCAGCAGUGGGGAAUAUUGCGCAAUGGGCGAAAGGUUGACGCAGCAACGCCGCGUGGGGGAUGACACCCUUCGGGUUGUAAACCCCUUUCUGGGGGGAAGAACUUGACGGUACCUGCUAAAGAAGGUCCGGGAACUACGUGCCAGCAGCCGCGGUAAUACCUCCAGACCAAGCGUUGUCCGGAAUUAUUGGGCGUAAAGAGCUCGUAGGAAUUAUCGGUAAGUCGGGUGUGAAAAUCCAGGGCUUAACCCUGGGACGCCACCCAAUACUGCUGUGACUAGAGUCCGGUGUAAAACCGUGGAAUUUCUGGCGUAGCGAGGAAAUGGGAAUAUCUGGUGUAGAACACCAGCGGCGAAGGCUGCGCUCUGGCCCCUGACUGACACUGAGGAACGUAAGCGUGUUCAGACAACGGGAUUAGAUACCCUGGUAGUCCACGCCGAUUACGUUGGGCACUAGGUAUGGGGUCUUAUCAUGGGAUUCCGUGCCGUAGCUGACGCAUUUGUUGCCCCGUCCUGGCUAGUACGG